UACGGAGGGGGCGAGCGUUAUUCGGAAUUAUUGGGCGUAAAGGGCGCGUAGGCGGCUGAACAAGUCAAAGGUGAAAUCCCUCGGCUCAACUGAGGAACUGCCUUUGAAACUGUUCGGCUUGAGGCCGGGAGGGGGUAGCGGAAUUCCCAGUGUAGCGGUGAAAUGCGCAGAUAUCGGGAGGAACACCGGUGGCGAAGGCGGUUCUCUGGGCCUGUACUGACGCUGAGGAGCGAAAGCGUGGGGAGCGAACAGG
rnacentral:rRNA from 1 species